rnacentral:rRNA from 1 species
GACGAACGCUGGCGGCGUGCUUAACACAUGCAAGUCGAACGGAGUGGCGAACGGGUGAGUAACACGUUGGUGACCUGGCCUGCACUUCGGGAUAAGGCUGGGAAAAUGGGUCUAAUACCGGAUAGUGUGGGAUGGGCCCGGGGCCUAUCUGCUUGUUGGUGGGGUAUUGGCCUACCAAGGCGGCGACGGGUAGCCGGCCUUCGCGGGUGGACGGACACAAGGUGACUGAGACACGGCCCAGACUCGGACUGGAGGCAGUGGUGGGGAAUAUGGCACAAUGGCCGGAAGCGUGUUGCAGCGACUCCGCGUGGGGGAAGACGUCCUUUGGGUUGUAAACACCUUCCACCAUCGACGCGGUAGAUGGAGAAGAAGCACCGGCUAACUACGUGCCAGCAGCCGCGGUAAUAC